AGACGGCCCCUCCUUUCUUUUUGAUGACAAGAAGAGGGGGGACGACUUCUUUUCUUUCACGAAAGAGGAGAGAGGGUGCGGCAUCUAAUUUGGGGCAUGGGUUUCUCAUGGUGAGAGGGAGAUGUGGUGUGGAGAAACUUAAAUAGAUACGUAGUGUUGAGUUGGUUAAGUCCUAUUUCAAAUAAAACUCAUGAAUCUUAUUCCAACUUUAACUAAUUCUUGAAUCUAAUCCUAGCUAACUUAGGAAUUAGUUAUAACAA
rnacentral:lncRNA from 1 species